GCUAUCUCCACCCUCUCCAUGGACACUGCUUCAUGAUGGAGUAUAAGAGUCAGCUUGAAGACUGUCCUCAGGACAAAGAAGGAUGAUACCAAAUGGCUGCCUUCUUCAGACUCCCUGAUGAACACCGUCUGCUUUGUGAUGUGUAAAGAAGCUUGGCAGCCACAUUUAGCUCAACAGCAAGCUUUUGCCACUUUGUGUCGUCACAUAAAAUCUUGUCAAAUAAUAUUUAAUUUUUAAUCUGCAGUCAGAAACACAAGGAUUUCUGCUCUCUAUUUUAUCGACAACUGUGUUUUACACAUCUGUUAUUCCAUUGCCUCUCUACUGGAGCCUGGCUUCUGCCAUUGAAGAAGAGUUGUUUUGAGGCUGGUUCCGUUGAUCCUAUUUGUUCCUGUACUUGUUCCUGCCAAUCAACCCAAGACUCUUGGUAUCCCUUGAGAGGUGCUGGCAGAUCACUAAGACAGAACCACCCCAGUAAGGAGCUCACAAACACACGGAUGUACUGCCUGUAAUUUAGAAGUUCAAUCUGGUUUCACCAAUGUACAAAGUGGUUUGCUCUCUGGUCAUCUGAGGACAAUAGAUCAGUUUUGGCAAGAACACUAUGCUCUAGGUAUGUUAAAGUCUUGUGAUACCUGAAAGGGGGGCAUUAUAACUUUAGUGACAAAUUGAUAUAUUAAGUUGAAUUUGCAGUAAGCAGCACUGUGUGUGUGUGUGUGUGUGUGGGUGGGUGUGUUUG
rnacentral:lncRNA from 1 species